rnacentral:rRNA from 1 species
GACGAACGCUGGCGGCGUGCUUAACACAUGCAAGUCGAGCGAGGCCCUCCUUCGGGAGGUGUCCUAGCGGCGAACGGGUGAGUAACAUGUGGGCAACCUGCCCUCAGCUCUGGGAUAACCCCAAGAAAUUGGGGCUAAUACCGGAUACGACCGCUGACCGCAUGGUCUGGUGGUGGAAAGAUUUAUCGGCUGAGGAUGGGCCCGCGGCCUAUCAGCUUGUUGGUGGGGUAGUGGCCUACCAAGGCGACGACGGGUAGCCGGCCUGAGAGGGUGACCGGCCACACUGGGACUGAGACACGGCCCAGACUCCUACGGGAGGCAGCAGUGGGGAAUAUUGCGCAAUGGGCGGAAGCCUGACGCAGCGACGCCGCGUGGGGGAUGACGGCCUUCGGGUUGUAAACCUCUUUCAGCAGGGACGAAGCGAAAGUGACGGUACCUGCAGAAGAAGCACCGGCCAACUACGUGCCAGCCGCCGCUGUAAUAC